rnacentral:rRNA from 1 species
GACGUAGGGCGCGAGCGUUGUCCGGAUUUAUUGGGCGUAAAGGGCUCGUAGGCGGUUCGUCACGUCGGGAGUGAAAACUCGGAGCUUAACUCCGAGCCUGCUUCCGAUACGGGCAGACUAGAGGUAGGCAGGGGAGAGCGGAACUCCUGGUGUAGCGGUGAAGUGCGUAGAUAUCUGGAGGAACACCGGUGGCGAAGGCGGCAUCCUGGACCAACACUGACACUGAUGAGCGAAAGCCAGGGGAGCAAACGGG